CAAUGGGGCAUUCUCUGGAAAGACUCUGGAACCUGGGAAUGGUAACACAGGCAAGUCAAAAAGCACACAAGGAAUGCUACACCGUGGCUGCACAGGUGUAACAUAACCUCCUAGGGUACUAGGGUAAUGUAACCCUGUAUUCCCCAUACUGCAGACUUCAUGCUUGCUUUCUUUUCUCUCAGAGGCCACAAGUUCCACAGGAGGGGUCAGAGCCACUGGAACAGAAGCUCCAGGAGGUACUUCUGGUGAAUUCCCUGGGACAACAAUUACAUCUGGAGGUUCCCACACAGAGACCACAACUUUCACAAGAGGCAGGGGCAGUACAGAAACUGACUCCAGAGCAGCCACCACCAGGGCAGCUCCUGGCACAACUCUUGCCCCUGGCAGUUCCAACACGGGGGCCACAGCUUCCCUAGGUGGAAGUGCAACGACAAGAGGUAGAAUAACCACCGCUACCACUGGGGCAUUCUCUGGAAAGACUCUGGAGCCUGGGAAUGACAACACAGGCAAGUUCAAAGCCACACAGGGAAUGCUACACCAUGGCUGCUUGGGUGACAGGCUCCUAGGGUUACAUAACCCUGCACUCCCCAUACUGCAGACUUCAUUCUUGCUUUCUUUUCUCUCAGAGGCCACAAGUUCCACGGGAGUGGUCAGGGCCCCUGGGUCAGAAGCUCCAGGAGGUACCUCUGGUGAAUUCCCUGGGACAACAAUUACAUCUGGAGGUUCCCACACAGCCACCGCUAGGGCAGCUCCUGGCACAACUCUUGCCCCUGGCAGUUCCAACACGGGUGAGUCUGCAGGUUGCCAGGGAACCUUCUGA
rnacentral:lncRNA from 10 species